rnacentral:rRNA from 1 species
UCGGGAAUAUUGCGCAAUGGAGGAAACUCUGACGCAGUGACGCCGCGUAUAGGAAGAAGGUUUUCGGAUUGUAAACUAUUGUCGUUAGGGAAGAGAAAGGACAGUACCUAAGGAGGAAGCUCCGGCUAACUACGUGCCAGCAGCCGCGGUAAUACGUAGGGAGCGAGCGUUAUCCGGAAUUAUUGGGUGUAAAGGGUGCGUAGACGGGAAAGCAAGUUAGUUGUGAAAUCCCUCGGCUUAACUGAGGAACUGCAACUAAAACUACUUUUCUUGAGUGCAGGAGAGGUAAGUGGAAUUCCUAGU